GAGUUUGAUCGUGGCUCAGAUUGAACGCUGGCGGCAUGCCUUACACAUGCAAGUCGAACGGCAGUACGGGAGCUUGCUCCUGGUGGCGAGUGGCGAACGGGUGAGUAAUGCAUCGGAACGUAUCCUGGAGUGGGGGAUAACGUAGCGAAAGUUACGCUAAUACCGCAUAUUCUGUGAGCAGGAAAGCGGGGGACCUUCGGGCCUCGCGCUCUUGGAGCGGCCGAUGUCGGAUUAGCUAGUUGGUGAGGUAAAGGCGUCACCAAGGCGACGAUCCGUAGCAGGUCUGAGAGGAUGAUCUGCCACACUGGAACUGAGACACGGUCCAGACUCCUACGGGAGGCAGCAGUGGGGAAUUUUGGACAAUGGGGGCAACCCUGAUCCAGCCAUGCCGCGUGAGUGAAGAA
rnacentral:rRNA from 1 species